CAGCAGCCGCGGGAAUACGGAGGGGGCUAGCGUUGUUCGGAAUUACUGGGCGUAAAGCGCACGUAGGCGGCUUGGUAAGUUAGAGGUGAAGGCCUGGAGCUCAACUCCAGAAUUGCCUUUAAGACUGCCGAGCUAGCAGGUGAGAGAGGUAAGUGGAAUUCCGAGUGUAGAGGUGAAAUUCGUAGAUAUUCGGAAGAACACCAGUGGCGAAGGCGGCUUACUUGCUCAUACUGGACGCUGAGGUGCGAAAGCGUGGGGAGCAAACAGGAUUAGAUACCCCCGUAGUCCCUGUCUCUUAUAC
rnacentral:rRNA from 1 species